GUUUGUCUGACUGGGCCUCUUGGAGUCCUCCCUUUACAUUCCUAAAUUCUAUGAAGCAGCAGUGGCAGCUUAGCUUAGCUGGGGAGGGGGGAGGAGGAAAGAAGGGAGGAAGUUCUCUAAGUUCUGAUUAUGCGCAGUUUCCUUGUGCUGCACGGAGCUCUCUCCACCCACUACUUUCUAAAGAACUUUUAAACUAGCAGGCUAACAUCUCUAAGCCUUCACUCCUGCAACAGUGUAGUGAAUCCUGCAUUUAGUGAGCUUGCUGAGAAAAGGUUCUCUGCUUCGGACAACUGCAGACGUUUAUGGGAAUAAUACUUGGAUUUCAGCAAAGUGCACUAAUAUGGGAAUCAGCCUGACAGGCAAAUAAGCCAUCUCACUGAAGGGGCCUCUAUGUGGCAGCUCUGAGCUAUUAAGCUUCGGACAGCCUUAGGGAAAAUGAGCAAGGGACCAGGGCAGAAAGUACACACUAACUCAGGCAACUGUUCCUCUCUGAUGAGCCCAUUUUGUAUCAGAGACUGAGAGGGAAAAUGNGAACUAAAGAAUGCGUGCAGCCAUUUCAGGUCUUCUGGGAUUUCCACUGUGUAGCUGGCAACAAAAAGUUUUCAUUUCACCGUUAGGCCUACUCUGCACAAAUGGAUAUAAAGAGGCAUCAACUUAUAGACAUAGGCUGCAUCCAUACACAGUAAAAAAAAAAAAAAAAAGCCUUAAAAUCAGCUUAGAGAUUGCAGCAUCCAUACACUAUUGCCUGUAAUCCACACAAAAGGCUAGAAAAUGCACUUUUGAAGACCUCUGAUGUAGAUUAAAAGUGGGAUGGAAAUGCUAGAGUUCAC
rnacentral:lncRNA from 1 species